rnacentral:rRNA from 1 species
UACGUAGGGGGCAAGCGUUGUCCGGAAUUAUUGGGCGUAAAGAGCGCGUAGGCGGUCCGAUAAGUCGGCUGUGAAAGUCAAGGGCUCAACCCUUGAAAGCCGGCCGAUACUGUCGGACUAGAGUCCGGAAGAGGCGAGUGGAAUUCCCGGUGUAGCGGUGAAAUGCGCAGAUAUCGGGAGGAACACCAAUUGCGAAGGCAGCUCGCUGGGACGUUACUGACGCUGAGACGCGAAAGCGUGGGGAGCAAACAGG